GUGCUCGCUUCGGCAGCACAUAUAAUAAAAUUAGAACGAUAUAGAGAAGAUUAGCAUGGCCCCUGCAUAAAGGAUGACAUGCAAAUUCAUGAAGCGUUCCAUAUUUUU